UGGCUGUGUUCGAGGCCAUACUCCUAUACAUGAAACUAAGCUGGAGAUGUAAAACAAUGUCCAUGAACUGCUUGCUAGUACAGCUGCUAACGCAACGCAGAGAACAGUGUACCACUGGUAUGAACAGUGGUGCAAGGAUGCAUAUGGCGAUGACAGAGAGGCCAUUCAGAAGCUGAAGGAAGGCUUCUUUAUACAGACAAGAUGGGCAUAAACUAUCGAUCAGCCACCGAUCACAAAGUGUCGAUCAACCUUCUGUACAUAUGGCAAGAAAGUGUUACGCUUUGUCAUCACUCAGAAGAGAUCUGAUUAGAAUUUGCAAAAAAAAAAGCUAUUUUGUUAGAAUUUUUUUCAACAGGUAGGUUACAUGUCCCUUCGCAAACCUUCAAGAAGCGGCCACAAAGCAAUUUUCUUUUUGCAAGCGGGAGAGCGUUGGCUGCAUGGGAACAAUCAACCACAAUUUAUUUGAAAGAAGUCAGGGACAGUCUAGCGCAACAUCUGGGACAUGGAAUGAACCAGGACAUAAAGAUAGAAUGCAAGUGCCUCAACCCUUCAUGACAGCUGCUGAAAAAGCAGAUCUUCAUAGCAUCUGCCCAAAAGUGAGCCAGAUACUUUGCCACCUCCAUGUGGCUCAGGCAGAGUGGCACUGGGUAAAAUCUACGAAGAAUGUCCGCCCAGAACAGCGGAGGGAGCUGAUGUCAGCAUUUCAAACGAUUUGUUGAUUGUGUAUGCUGACGCUGCAGACGGUUUGGAAAAAGCGAAGGAAGAGUUCCAAGCAUUGCUCCAGGACUGCUACAGAGCAUGUGUGCAAGCAUUCUCGCAAAAUGAACAGCAGUGGGUGAUGCUCUUUCGAAAAAGCAUCUUAAUGCGAGGCCCGACAUGUACAAAAUAAUGCGCAAAAGUAUUUAAAGUAAGAUGCUAAAUAUGCAGCAUAAAAAGCAUUUAAAAUAGAGUACAAAAUACUCGAAACUGAAAGUAAUUUGAGUAAACCACUAAGUACCCAAGUAUUUAAGAUACUAUUUAAAGUACUUUAGCAUUAGCAGCCAGUGAAACGCUUAUUCUGGCUGAUGUGGCCAUACAACUGAAAGGAAUAAACUUCAUCUGCCAUA